rnacentral:rRNA from 1 species
UACGGAGGGUGCAAGCGUUAUCCGGAUUCACUGGGUUUAAAGGGUGCGUAGGUGGGUCUGUAAGUCAGUGGUGAAAUCUCCGUGCUUAACAUGGAGACUGCCAUUGAUACUAUAGGUCUUGAAUUAUCUGGAGGUUAGCGGAAUAUGUCAUGUAGCGGUGAAAUGCUUAGAUAUGAACAUAGAACACCAAUUGCGAAGGCAGCUGGCUACACGAAAUAUUGACACUGAUGCACGAAAGCGUGGGGAUCAAACAGG